UAAUGUAGACAGAAAAAGGGAAGCCCCGCUAGAACAGGACUUCCCAUGCAAGCCGCUUCAAAGACGGUGGCGAAGUUAAUAAGACAGCAUU
rfam:Lactobacillus pobuzihii strain NBRC 103219 NODE_2, whole genome shotgun sequence.